GAUGAACGCUGGCGGCGUGCCUAAUACAUGCAAGUCGAGCGAACAGACGAGGAGCUUGCUCCUCUGACGUUAGCGGCGGACGGGUGAGUAACACGUGGAUAACCUACCUAUAAGACUGGGAUAACUUCGGGAAACCGGAGCUAAUACCGGAUAAUAUAUUGAACCGCAUGGUUCAAUAGUGAAAGACGGUUUUGCUGUCACUUAUAGAUGGAUCCGCGCCGCAUUAGCUAGUUGGUAAGGUAACGGCUUACCAAGGCGACGAUGCGUAGCCGACCUGAGAGGGUGAUCGGCAACACUGGAAGUGAGACAGGGUCCAGACUCCUACGGGAGGCAGCAGUAGGGAAUCUUCCGCAAGGGGCGAAAGCCUGACGGAGCAACGCCGCGUGAGUGAUGAAGGUCUUCGGAUCGUAAAGCUCUGUUAUUAGGGAAGAACAAAUGUGUAAGUAACUAUGCACGUCUUGACGGUACCUAAUCAGAAAGCCACGGCUAACUACGUG
rnacentral:rRNA from 1 species